CACCGAUAAGAGCAAACUUAGAGCAAUCUAAGGGCGCAAAACUACCUGUCCAGACCCAUACUAUCCCCUCUCCACUUGAGAGGGGCAGGGUGAGGGGUUUGGGAAGAGGAGUUGCCGA
rnacentral:ncRNA from 1 species